rnacentral:rRNA from 1 species
CAAUAGCGUAUAUUAAAGUUGUUGCAGUUAAAAAGCUCGUAGUUGGAUUUCUGGUCGGAAGCUCCUGUCCUCUGAUGAGCGUACAAGUGCGUCCUACCAUCCUUCUGUUAACCUUUAAGGCUUUCGCGGCUUUCUAGGGGCUCAGAUAUUUUACCUUGAGAAAAUUAGAGUGUUUCAGGCAGGCUAGCGCCGGAAUACAUUAGCAUGGAAUAAUGGAAUAGGACUUUUGCCUCUUCUGUUGGUCAUGAGGCUCGAGUAAUGAUUAAUAGGGAUAGUUGGGGGCAUUAGUACUUAACUGUCAGAGGUGAAAUUCUCGGAUUUGUUAAAGACUAACUUAUGCGAAAGCAUUUGCCAAGGAUGUUUUCAUUAAC